UACGGAGGGGGCUAGCGUUGUUCGGAAUUACUGGGCGUAAAGCGCACGUAGGCGGCUUUGUAAGUUAGAGGUGAAAGCCCAGGGCUCAACCCUGGAAUUGCCUUUAAGACUGCAUCGCUUGAACAUCGGAGAGGUAAGUGGAAUUCCGAGUGUAGAGGUGAAAUUCGUAGAUAUCGGGAGGAACACCAGUGGCGAAGGCGGCUCUCUGGACAGGUACUGACGCUGAGACGCGAAAGCGUGGGUAGCAAACAGG
rnacentral:rRNA from 1 species